rnacentral:rRNA from 1 species
CAGCCGCCGCGGUAAUACGAAGGGUGCAAGCGUUACUCGGAAUUACUGGGCGUAAAGCGUGCGUAGGUGGUUGUUUAAGUCUGCUGUGAAAGCCCUGGGCUCAACCUGGGAAUUGCAGUGGAUACUGGGCGACUAGAGUAAGGUAGAGGAUAGUGGAAUUUCCGGUGUAGCAGUGAAAUGCGUAGAGAUCGGAAGGAACAUCUGUGGCGAAGGCGACCACCUGGACUGAUACUGACACUGAGGUGCGAAAGCGUGGGGAGCAAACAGGAUUAGAGACCCCUGUAGUCCCUGUCUCUUAUAC